GUUCUGCCUGAUAGCUCAACUGGUAGAGCAUAAGACCCCUUAAUCUCAGGGCUGUGGGUUCGAGCCCCAUGUUGGAUG